CACGUAGGGCGCGAGCGUUUGUCCGGAAUUAUUGGGCGUAAAGAGCUCGUAGGCGGCCUGUUGCGUCCGCUGUGAAAGCCCGGGGCUUAACCCCGGGUCGGCAGUGGAUACGGGCAGGCUAGAGGUAGGUAGGGGAGAAUGGAAUUCCCGGUGUAGCGGUGAAAUGCGUAGAGAUCGGAAAGAACACCAACGGCGAAAGCACUCUGCUGGGCCGACACUGACACUGAGAGACGAAAGCUAGGGGAGCGAAUGGG
rnacentral:rRNA from 1 species